rnacentral:rRNA from 1 species
GAUGAACGCUGGCGGCGUGCCUAAUACAUGCAAGUCGAGCGAACGGACGAGAAGCUUGCUUCUCUGAUGUUAGCGGCGGACGGGUGAGUAACACGUGGAUAACCUACCUAUAAGACUGGGAUAACUUCGGGAAACCGGAGCUAAUACCGGAUGAUAUUUUGAACCGCAUGGUUCAAAGGUGAAAGACGGUCUUGCUGUCACUUAUAGAUGGAUCCGCGCUGCAUUAGCUAGUUGGUAAGGUAACGGCUUACCAAGGCAACGAUGCAUAGCCGACCUGAGAGGGUGAUCGGCCACACUGGAACUGAGACACGGUCCAGACUCCUACGGGAGGCAGCAGUAGGGAAUCUUCCGCAAUGGGCGAAAGCCUGACGGAGCAGCGCCGCGUGAGUGAUGAAGGUCUUCGGAUCGUAAAACUCUGUUAUUAGGGAAGAACAUAUGUGUAAGUAACUGUGCACAUCUUGACGGUACCUAAUCAGAAAGCCACGGCUAACUACGUG